UACGUAGGGGGCAAGCGUUGUCCGGAUUUAUUGGGCGUAAAGAGUGUGUAGGCGGUUUGGUAGGUCAGCUGUGAAAACUCGAGGCUCAACCUCGAGACGCCGGUGGAAACCAUCAGACUAGAGUCCGGAAGAGGAGAGUGGAAUUCCUGGUGUAGCGGUGAAAUGCGUAGAUAUCGGGAGGAACACCUGUGGCGAAAGCGGCGCACUGGACCGUAACUGACGCUGAUGCGCGAAAGCUAGGGGAGCAAACAGG
rnacentral:rRNA from 1 species